rnacentral:RNase_P_RNA from 1 species
UCCGCUGACUGCUAUCGCGUAUUCAUACGAGGAAAGUCCGGACAGCACAGAGCAUCGCACCGGUGAAUAGCCGGGUUCCGGUCAAACGGAAACAGAGAGUGCCACAGAAAAUAACCGUCCGCCCAGGCGGAUAAGGGUGAAAACGGGAGGUAAGAGCUCCCGACCGGUAACAGUAAUGCUACUGGGGGGUAAACCUUGCGUGCUGAAAUGCCACAUAGGUUGCAGGAACAUUGUUGGAAAAUGACUCGUUUUCCCCCUUCAGGGCUUGCAAUGGGUAGGCAGCUUGAUCCCUUCGGGUAACCGACUGGACAGAUAAAUGAUAGCAAAUACAGAAUCCGGCUUAUGGCAGCGGAAAUU